rnacentral:rRNA from 1 species
AACGAACGCUGGCGGCAUGCCUAACACAUGCAAGUCGAACGAGACCUUCGGGUCUAGUGGCGCACGGGUGCGUAACGCGUGGGAACCUGCCCUUAGGUUCGGAAUAACUCCCCGAAAGGGGUGCUAAUACCGGAUAAUGUCUUCGGACCAAAGAUUUAUCGCCUUUGGAUGGGCCCGCGUUGGAUUAGCUAGUUGGUAGGGUAAAAGCCUACCAAGACGACGAUCCAUAGCUGGUCUGAGAGGAUGAUCAGCCACACUGGGACUGAGACACGGCCCAGACUCCUACGGGAGGAAGCAGUGGGGAAUAUGGGAAAAUGGGCGAAAGCCUGAUCCAGCAAUGCCGCGUGAGUGAUGAAGGCCUUAGGGUUGUAAAGCUCUUUUACCCGGGAUGAUAAUGACAGUAACGGGAGAAUAAGCUCCGGCUAACUCCGUG